AAGCCUGAUGCAGCUAUGCCGCGUGUAUGAAGAAGGCCUUAGGGUUGUAAAGUACUUUCAAUAAGGAAGAAGCAAUAAAAUCUAAUAUAUUUUAUUGUUGACGUUACUUAUAAAAGAAGCACCGGCUAACUCCGUGCCAGCAGCCGCGGUAAUACGGAGGGUGCUAGCGUUAAUCGGAAUUACUGGGCGUAAAGAGCACGUAGGCGGUUUAUUAAGUCAGAUGUGAAAUCCCUAAGCUUAACUUAGGAACUGCAUUUGAAACUAAUUUACUUGAGUAUCAUAGAGGGGAGUAGAAUUCCAGGUGUAGCGGUGAAAUGCGUAGAUAUCUGGAGGAAUACCAGUGGCGAAGGCGACUCCCUGGAUGAAUACUGACGCUCAGGUGCGAAAGCAUGGGGAGCAAACAGGAUUAGAUACCCUGGUAGUCCAUUGCUGUAAACGAUGUCGACUUGGAGGUUGUGAGCUUGUCUUGUAGCUUCCGUAGCUAACGCGUUAAGUCGACCGCCUGGGGAGUACGACCGCAAGGUUAAAACUCAAAUGAAUUGACGGGGGCCCGCACAAGCGGUGGAGCAUGUGGUUUAAUUCGAUGCAACGCGAAGAACCUUACCUGGUCUUGACAUCCAUGGAAUUUAAUAGAGAUAUUUUAGUGCCUUCGGGAACCAUGAGACAGGUGCUGCAUGGCUGUCGUCAGCUCGUGUUGUGAAAUGUUGGGUUAAGUCCCGCAACGAGCGCAACCCUUGUCCUUUGUUGCCAACGGUUUGGCCGGGAACUCAAAGGAGACUGCUGGUGAUAAGCCGGAGGAAGGUGGGGAUGACGUCAAGUCAUCAUGGCCCUUACGACCAGGGCUACACACGUGCUACAAUGGUAUAUACAAAGGGCAGCAUCCUCGCAAGAGUAAGCGAAUCUCAUAAAAUAUAUCUUAGUUCGGAUUGGAGUCUGCAACUCGACUCUAUGAAGUCGGAAUCGCUAGUAAUCGUAGAUCAGAAUGCUACGGUGAAUACGUUCCCGGGCCUUGUACACACCGCCCGUCACACCAUGGAAGUGAGUUGUAAAAGAAGUAAGUUGUUUAACCAUAAAAGGAGAACGCUUACCA
rnacentral:rRNA from 1 species